CCAGAGGAUGAAAAUGCAAGGCUACUACUUGGAGCCUUUCCUGACCUUUCUCUGGAAUUCACAGUGAAAUGCCUUAGAGAAAGUGGAGAGGAUGAGGAAAACCAUGCUAAGUGGUCUCCUUUCCUUGGCUAUCUUUGUGGCAUUUUGUGAUGCUCAGUGCACAUUUAUUGGCUUGGAGAUCGCUUCAAGGGGUUCAGUACAAGGUUGAUGAGGCCUGUAGACUAUGACAAACGCAACUGCAAGGAAAUUGUGAACC